GUCGGGGUGGCAGAGUGGCUUAAUGCGAUGGCUUGCUAAGCCAUUGGGCUGUUUCUAGGCCCGCCCGGGUUCGAAUCCCGGCCCCGGCG
rnacentral:tRNA from 1 species